GAUACUGUCACUCCACAGAAGGGGGAAUGCUGCCGGUUUCUGGCUAGGUCCCUGUCCUGGGUAACACAAGAAUGAGGAGCGACCUCAGAGAGAAGACAAGUCUUCAUCCUUCGGGCGGAACCGGGUCCUCGCUCACAGAGCGGUCCAGGCCUCAGGCCUAGCCUCUGCCCCUCCCUAGCCUGAGGCUCCCUUCCUGGGCUGGACAC